rnacentral:lncRNA from 1 species
UUGGGGUUGGGUUAUACCUUAAGUUAAGUUCCAUUGCUUUCCUUCCAUUUCGGAGUUUCCUCUAUUUCUUUCAUUCCAUUUCCUUUUUCUUUACCUCCAUCUUGAGGUGGUGUACAUAUCUUGUUUGUGCGUGAACUUUUUCCUUCUCCAUUUGUUGUAGUGACUCAGUGGUGAGAGCCUCGUUCAUUGCUUGUUCCUUCGUAAUAUCUCCCUGGUU